UAUUCUUCAGUCUCUCUCUUACACAUUAAGAGAGAGAGAACAUUCUUGUAUUGGAAGAUAGUGAAAUUAAAUUACUCAAUUGGGCCUUUGAGAGUCGUCUCUCGUUUCUCUUUUGAAUUGAAGAAAAAAGAAGAAUUAUAUCAUUGAUGCAAGAGUGAAAAAGGAAAGGAUUUAAAAAAAAGGAGAUGGGAGAUGCGCGAGAGUGUGAAUUGGUAACGGCACCGGUAACGGGAGUAGAAUUAGAGAUACUGGCAAGUAUAAAAUCGCAAUGUUAAGGCCGUAGCACGGGCGAGAGAGGUGGCCCUCCUCUCGUACAGACGCGGCGGAGAAUAAUUCAAGUAGGUGGAAACUGGAAGGGUAAGGGCGAGGGUUGCGUGGCGGUGGAAAUUGCGGAUGGCAGGGGUAAAGCUGCAGCACUCCGCUUAGACAAAGCCUAACGAAGCUUCUAUUCAGCAACAGUAGGCAUCACGAGGCCCAACUUCACUUCUAUUAUACUUACUCGUCGGCACGAAGUGAAUUCCAUCCAUCAACGGAAUUCCAGGCUAAGCAGCUCUCUGGCAUCUCUAUCUCUGGCACGAGAGGUAUUCUCUCCUUUUUUGGGGUUGCAUCCUCUUUGUCUUUACCUCGUCAUUUCAAAGUAGCCCGUGUUUUCUUCUUUUCGACAUUGUUCCACAUUCUUCCUUUCCUUUCCUUUUUUUUUUUUUUUUAUGCGUACGCGGUGUCUUCCACCAUUCACCAAGGUUCAUGCCUUCCCCAUUAACUCGUCAUCUAUCGAUCCUUUCUCUUUGAGGAUGGAUCACGUUUUAUACCGUUUAACUUUAAUAUAAUAGGCUAACUCUUCACUCUUAUUAUCCUCCUAAUUUUUAGAUUAACGAAAAGAAAGAAAUAUAAAUAUUCGAUGUGAAAUCGUUCUUACCGCUCUUUUUGGUUAUUUCUACUUGUUUUUCUCCCCACCAUCCUUCUUUUUUCUCGCACGACCAUAGACUUAUCGACAGCCGAAGAUAUGUUGGCGCGAAUCUGUGGCCGGGAUAAGCGCGUCUCCACCGUAAUAAAACUCCCGGAGGGAAGCCAGCGCCGUUAGCUGGAACUUUUCCUUAAAAAGAGAAGGAAGAGGAGGAGGAGGAGGAGGAAGAAGAAUCAAUCCCUUUAUUUGAAAGAUUGGAGAAAGAUUGGAGAAAUUUCAUCUUAUUGACGAGAUGAGAAACAAAGGAUAUACAAUAAGGAGAAUGUGGUAGUGACAAAUGUAAGGGGAUGUUUGUCCUUAAGUGCUUGAAAAGCUGGAGUUGAGUAAUUGAACGCGUGAUCAAUGGGCUUAACUUCUCGAUCGAAUGAGUCUAGACGCAAGAACAGCUAGAAAAUAAGAGAAAAAUAAACGGGGAAUGUUUCUCCAUUGAUCUAUGUAUCAUCUUAUUGUGAAGGUAUAAUGAAAGGAAAGAAGAGAAGAAAUAUGGUAUUGAAGAAAAUAAAAAUAUGGCAUUCUGUUUGUGAUUUUAUCAAUAAAAGGGAAUAGUCAGAAAUUAGAACAAAGAAAGUAAAGAAAAAUUGUAGUAUAAAUAUUGAAGAGGAUAAACAGGAAGAAAAAGGAAAUGGUUUAGAGAGAGAAAUGAAAAGUAAAGGCGGAAAAUGAAAAGCAAAUACAAUAAUGUAACAAGAAGCUAAGAAGAAUAAAGAGAAUAAAUAGACUGGGUAGUUGGGUAUUGAUCCAUGUUAUAAGUUUAAGGCAAUUGGCAAUGAACGAUACAAAAUAUUUAUUAAUUUUAAAUAAUAAUCUCACCUUGUCUGUUUAAAAUUAAAGAGAAUACUAUUUGGAAGUGAUCUGCUAAUUUUUAGAUAUAAUAGAUAAUUCAUGGUUUAUUUUCAAUUAUUUAUGUGAACAAUGUUAUAAUGAACAAUUUCAAGAUUUAUUAAUUUCAAUAUAGA
rnacentral:lncRNA from 11 species